GAAGGCUAUGUUGGCCGGGCGACGGUUGUCCCGGUUUAAGCGUGUAGGCUGGUUUUCCAGGCAAAUCCGGAAAAUCAAGGCUGAGGCGUGAUGACGAGGCACUACGGUGCUGAAGCAACAAAUGCCCUGCUUCCAGGAAAAGCCUCUAAGCAUCAGGUAACAUCAAAUCGUACCCCAAACCGACACAGGUGGUCAGGUAGAGAAUACCAAGGCGCUUGAGAGAACUCGGGUGAAGGAACUAGGCAAAAUGGUGCCGUAACUUCGGGAGAAGGCACGCUGAUAUGUAGGUGAAGUCCCUUGCGGAUGGAGCUGAAAUCAGUCGAAGAUACCAGCUGGCUGCAACUGUUUAUUAAAAACACAGCACUGUGCAAACACGAAAGUGGACGUAUACGGUGUGACGCCUGCCCGGUGCCGGAAGGUUAAUUGAUGGGGUCAGCGCAAGCGAAGCUCUUGAUCGAAGCCCCGGUAAACGGCGGCCGUAACUAUAACGGUCCUAAGGUAGCGAAAUUCCUUGUCGGGUAAGUUCCGACCUGCACGAAUGGCGUAAUGAUGGCCAGGCUGUCUCCACCCGAGACUCAGUGAAAUUGAACUCGCUGUGAAGAUGCAGUGUACCCGCGGCAAGACGGAAAGACCCCGUGAACCUUUACUAUAGCUUGACACUGAACAUUGAGCCUUGAUGUGUAGGAUAGGUGGGAGGCUUUGAAGUGUGGACGCCAGUCUGCAUGGAGCCGGCCUUGAAAUACCACCCUUUAAUGUUUGAUGUUCUAACGUGGACCCGUGAUCCGGGUUGCGGACAGUGUCUGGUGGGUAGUUUGACUGGGGCGGUCUCCUCCUAAAGAGUAACGGAGGAGCACGAAGGUUGGCUAAUCCUGGUCGGACAUCAGGAGGUUAGUGCAAUGGCAUAAGCCAGCUUGACUGCGAGCGUGACGGCGCGAGCAGGUGCGAAAGCAGGUCAUAGUGAUCCGGUGGUUCUGAAUGGAAGGGCCAUCGCUCAACGGAUAAAAGGUACUCCGGGGAUAACAGGCUGAUACCGCCCAAGAGUUCAUAUCGACGGCGGUGUUUGGCACCUCGAUGUCGGCUCAUCACAUCCUGGGGCUGAAGUAGGUCCCAAGGGUAUGGCUGUUCGCCAUUUAAAGUGGUACGCGAGCUGGGUUUAGAACGUCGUGAGACAGUUCGGUCCCUAUCUGCCGUGGGCGCUGGAGAACUGAGGGGGGCUGCUCCUAGUACGAGAGGACCGGAGUGGACGCAUCACUGGUGUUCGGGUUGUCAUGCCAAUGGCACUGCCCGGUAGCUAAAUGCGGAAGAGAUAAGUGCUGAAAGCAUCUAAGCACGAAACUUGCCCCGAGAUGAGUUCUCCCUGACUCUUUAAGGGUCCUGAAGGAACGUUGAAGACGACGACGUUGAUAGGCCGGGUGUGUAAGCGCAGCGAUGCGUUGAGCUAACCGGUACUAAUGAACCGUGAGGCUUAACCUUACAACGCCGAAG
rnacentral:rRNA from 1 species